rnacentral:tRNA from 1 species
GGAGUCGGCAAAAAUUGCAAUCGCACUGCAGAGGUCGUGGGUUCGAAUCCCAUCAUCUCCACCA